GCUGACACAUCCCGGCCAAUCUCCAGCAUACCCUCCCUCCCAGAGCCUCCCACCUCCUGGACAGCAUCCAUGUUGAAGCUGCCUGUCCAGGAGGUGGGAGGGUCUGGGAGGGAGGGUAUGCUGGAGAUUGGCCGGGAUGUGUCAG